AAGGGAAUAUUGUUUGAGAGCAUAUACCUACAAUAAUCAUUUCGUAUAAACCACCAUUGCAUCGUAUACACAGACAUGGGAACGAUGAUAAUUAAUUGCCAAACACAAUCGGGUUGCUGAGAACAAGGUCAUAUACAAAGACGGAAAUUGACAGAUUGUCGAAGAUUGCCAAGCAAUGGACUCCAGUGCAGUUGAUUAUUAGGUGAACCCACACUUUAAAGCAGCAAAAUCGGAAGUUUCAAUCACAUUUCCGAGGAAGGAGUAUUCUAUACAGACUACAUCGGUCAUCAGAUAACAAAAAUCCUCUCAACAACAGACGUCUUGUAACAUGCCUGCCCAGAAAUUAAUUUUAGCAUUGUACUAAGAUAUUUUCAACUAUAGAUGUUCCAUAAAUAUACAAAGGAUGGCUUGUCAUACUAGAUUUUCCUAUAAAUCUGGACAACCAAAUUUAUCUCUAAGAAUUCAGAGAACCACAUGUCUUAUGAACAUCUACAUAAUAUCAACCAUGUAAAGCUGUUCUUCAAAAAAUCUCCUGAUGAAGAUAUUUAUCAAAUUUUCAAAAGCCACAGAAGUCUAAACAUAUUCAGACAUGGAAGUAGCUGUCAGCGUCUUACCUUAUUAAGAGCAAUGAUAAAUGGCGUUUUCCGUUCCUUGAGAAGAUUGAUGGACUCUAUAGUUUGGGGUUCCAAACCAUGCAUUAUGUCAACCACCAGAAUGGCAAAAUCACAGAGAGAAGACCCCCGAGAUCGGAGAUUACUGUCAAAAUUAGAUUAAUAUGAAACUUGAAAUUGUAGACAACAACUAUCCAUUAAUCAAGUUGUACACAUUCAAAGUUUGGACACGAACUAUAAAUGAAGUACAUGUACUACAUAAGUAUUGUGCAAUAGCACAUUUUUGGGCUGUAAAAAUAAUAGAUUGCUUUUAUUAAACAAUAUGAAUUUCUGAAA